GACAAAGAUAACGCCAUCUUGGGGAAGGCUGACGCUUAAGUAAGUGAACUCGAGCGUCUCGGGAAAGGUGGAUUGGGAGGACCGGAAGAAUCUUAACUGCAAUUCCAGGACCUGCUGCCUGGCACUUUUCACACGUUAAAUAGUUGGUUCUUAAAAGAGCGUACGAGAUAAGGAUUAUUAUAUUAAUCUUAGUAGAAAUAACAAGAAUAAUAGCUAACAUUAAUGUAGUGCUUAUUAUGGGCCACUUUACAUAUUUCAGCUCUUAAGAACGUGAACUCCUGGGCCGGGCGCGGUGGCUCACGCCUGUAAUCCCAGCACUUUGGGAGGCUGAGGCGGGUGGAUCAGGAGGUCAGGAGUUUGAGACCAGCCUGACCAACAUGGUGAAACCCCGUCUCUGCUGAAAAUACAAGAAAAAAAAAAAAUUAGCCGAGCGUGGUGGUGCGCGCCUGUAUUCCCAGCUACUCAGGAGGCUGAGGCAGAAGAAUCGCUUGAACCUGGGAGGUGGAGGUUGCAGUGAGUCGAGAUCAAAAAAAAAAAAAACAAAGAACACGUGAACUCGAAAGCUGACUUUCUGGGUUGGAAUCGCUCUUCACGGCUUACUGCUUGUGUGACCUUGGGCAAGUUACUUAACUUCCGUGUGCCUCAGUUUCCAAAGGGGGAUAUAAUUUUAUUUACCUAAUGGGUCUUAGUGAGGAUUAGAUGAGUUAAAUGAGCUAGUCUUGAUAAAAAUGUUAAUGAUUAUGGUAGACAGACCAAUCACCCUCACCCCGACUCCCAGAUGUCUACCUUCUAAUCCCCAGAAUCUGGGUAUAUGGUGACCUUUAUAUAGCAAAAGAGAAUUGGCAGAGAUGAUGAAAUUAAAGCGAUUGAGAUGGGGAGCUAGCCUGGAUUGUGCAGGUGGGUCCCCUAUCAUCAAAACCAUCCUUAUAAGGGGUAGACAGGAUGGCCAGAGUCAGACAGAGAUCAGAGAUGCUUUGAAGAGGGAGAGUGGGACCACAUGCCUAGGUAUGCAGGAGGCCGCUAGAAAAAGCAAAGAAAUGAGCCCUCCUCCAGAGUCUCCAGAAGGAAUGCAGCAUUGCUGACACGGUGAUUUUAGUCUUGUAACACUCAUCUCAAACUUCUGACUUCCAGAACUCUACCAGAAUACGUUUGUGUUGUUUUAAGCCACCAAACUUGUGGCAAUUUGUUACAGCAGCAAGACGAAAGUGAUCAUAAUGAUUGUAACAGUGGCAUUUAGUAUAUGUGGGGCAUGUGUAUGACUCUUUGCAUAGAUUAUAUUAUAUAAUCCUUGCAAGAAUCCUAGAAGCGGACCUAUUAUCCACCAUAUUAGAGAGAAGAAAAAUGAGACUCAUCACAUCCUCAUCUCAUCUGUCUUUAUGGAGAAAAUGGGAAAAGGGAAAAGGAGAGGGGAAUUGAGGCAGUUGACUGUGUUCAGUCUUAUUUAUUUAUUUUCAUUUGUUUAUUUCUCCAAGUCCGCCAGUCUCUGAAAUUAGAACAGUAAGCAAUAUGAGAUAAUCGGGCCUAAUAAUGUUGUGAUUCUCUUUUCUUAAUGGAGUGGAAUGUUCUGUCCCCACAAGAAGGAUUAUACCUUAUAGACUUGUCUUGUUCAGAUUCUGUAUUUACCCAUUUUACUGAAACACAUACUAAAUUCCAUGUGUUUUUGUUACAAAUCUUCUGAAAGAAAAUGUGAAACAUUAAAAGGUAUUAAUAAUAAUUUUUUUUAAAAGGAAAAAAAAUGAGGCUCAGUUGCUUAAAUGGCAUGCCAGGGGUCAUUUCCCAGCUAGCAAGUGAAGGAGCCUUCAGUUAAAAAAUAACUCAAAGACAUUGAGUUAAUUAUUGGCGUGUUAUUUACUUGUAACUAGUGGAACCAGUAUAGACUGACUUCAUCUCAGAAAGCGAGGAAAGGAUUUAUAUAGAAGAAACACAGCUUCUAAACUAUGAAUGUUGGUUUUUUUGCCUAGCUGGACCCUGGCAAUGAAGCCAGUGAGUGUUCUGAUCCUGGAAAGCUAGAAAGAAAGUAAUUCUAGUUGCACGUGAAUGUCCCUGAAGACCAUGAGAAUUUAGCUUCCUCUGCACGAUGCCUGUCAGGGUCCUUGGUUGUCAUCUCCAUCUUAGCGAUGCAGUCUUUUAGGUGCUUUAAAUAAAGGGGGAGAGAGGAAAUCUUCUGAAGCAGAUGACAAUUAUUUCCCCCAAGCACAGCCACCAAGCCAUGCUCUUAUUUUGAAUGAUCUGCGUCAUUUUCCAACAUGAAGCCUCAGAAGGACAUGAUUACAGGCUGGACUCACCGACUGUAGCCUGUGCAGCUAUUGUAAUGUUUUAAUCAGUGAUUAAGUCAAGAGGUUUAAUUUAGUACCGGGCUCCGUUAAGCUUGUGAAAAUGGUUUUCUGCCUCCUCAAACUAAAAAUGUGUCUCUCCCCCAUGUGUCCAGCCCGAAGCAUCUUAACCUUUGUUCUAUCUUCAACACCGCUGGCUCUAACAAAUUACUCAGCAGUGAAUGAAUUAGCUGAGUCCAAUGUGUGAAAAAAGAUUAGGCUGGACCUAGGAAAAUUAGCUUCUAAGCACAGCACAGGAUGAGGCAUAAAGAUACCUGGACUCGUGCCCUGCAUGACAAAGAAGCUAAGCUUCAUUAGCGUCAGUCAUGACAUCCGUCAUUGGCAUUAUCUCAUUGAAUCCCUGCGACAACCUCAGGGGCAGAUGCUAUUAUUAUUCGCAUUUUGUAGAUGAAGAAAACUGAGACCCAGAGAAGGUAAAUAACUUGUCCAUGGUCACACAGGCAGUCUUGGUCCCAGGAUUUGAGUUGAGGCAGCCUAGCUCUGGGAUCCCCACACUGUCCUUCCUCCCUCG
rnacentral:lncRNA from 10 species